rnacentral:lncRNA from 13 species
GCUCUGAAACUGGACGUCCCACCUCUCCAGGUGUUUUUAUUGCUUUUGAAAAUGUCAGCUAUCCAGGAAGGCUGUGGCACAUUGUACCAUUGUACUGAAUGAUCUCGUUACUCUGAGCCCUUCAGGGGGGAAUGGCCUGCCAAGAUCACAGUCUUUGUGCAAAAUGCCUCAUGAGAAAUGAUGGAAACAGCCAAAGGGAUUUGACUGACCCUGCAGUGACUCCUUAACCCUGGAGCAUCAGCCUGAAUCCAUGCCUGAGCAGAGUAAUUCCUUAUCCCAGCUGCUUUCCUUGUCCCACAGGAUGGGCUCCUGACACUGAGAAAUAGCUCCCAGAUCAGUGGUCUUUCAGUUGUUUCAUUCUUGAGUUUUUUGGUUUUGAAUAUGGGCCCAAGGGUCUUUGGCCAGUGGGUAUCAUUCCAAUGGUUCUGAUGGGUAAUGACAAAUAAAACAAAUGGUGGGUAUUAUGUAACAGCUGACUGGCUCUGAAUGGUUUUGGCUAUGGUUCUGGAAAAGAAUGCAGGAGGGAUGUGGUCAACAUACAGGAAUGAAAUUGGAAUGAAGCCAUUCUGCAGUCCUUUGGAUAUCAGUCUUUCAGUAGGAGGUUAAGUAGGACAGCACUGGGACCAAUUCAGUGCCCCUCCCCUAGCCUCCCUGCCUCUAUGGCAAUGCUGAAGAAACCCUUAGACUUUCUUGCUUCUUUCUUGCAGGACCUCUGCUCAUCCCUAUCCAUUGACACCCAUGGUCUCCAUGGCGUUAUCUUCCUUGAGAUUCUCUGGGAUAAUCUUACUGUGGCCUUCAGCUCUGUGUGGCCCUGGUGACAGAACUGCUGGCGAAAUAACUGCCCUCUCUCCACACACAGCCUCCCUCAACUCAUCAAAGCAGCAAGACUUACGCAAGCCUCCCUUGACAACAGAACUUCUGUCCCAUCAGCCUCCUUAUCAAAUCUGUCCUGCAGCCCCCUCAGACCUGAGCGAAUACACCUGUUUUCCAGAUAAGUUCUCACCAUGGGAUCAAGGCAAUGGUGCACAGAACAAAACAGGCUGAACCUCUCCAAAUUGUUGGGACUCAUGCCAAUUCUUUGAGAGGUCACAACAAUCAAAUCCAACAGAAUUUAGACUCGCUACGGCCUAAACAAAAAUUCUUUAGUCCCUGUGGAACAGGAAAACUUAGGGGACACCUAAGAAAACUUUGCACAAACAUUACAGUGGCUUUUUAGAAUAACAAAGAUGAAAUUCUAUUUUCUCCCCAAUCCCCCCACCUCUAUUUGUUGCCUUGGAAACCUCACAUACUCUCAGAGACACAACCUGACCACAUCUCAGUCUAUUGAAAAAAUUACAACCCAGAUGAUAAACUUUUUCUCUGAUUACCAAAACAGGCUCAACUUCUGUAACCCAACAUGAUGUUGAACUUUCUUGCUUUCUUCAGUGAAUCUGCCCCAACAUCUAGCAGUAAUAAUGACACAAAAUAGGCAUUCAAAAAUGUACAUAUGACUUAUGCACAGUUUUGUUGACAAAUUCCAAAUACUUAAUGAAAUGUAGAUAAGUGCAUCAUUAAAUGCAUCAAAGUAAUUGAUAGAAUAAUGGAAG